rnacentral:rRNA from 1 species
GUUCGGACUUAGCUGAGAGGUGGUGCAUGGCCGUCGUCAGUUCGUACUGUGAAGCAUCCUGUUAAGUCAGGCAACGAGCGAGACCCACGCCCACAGUUGCCAGCGUACUCUCUGGAGUGACGGGUACACUGUGGGGACCGCCGCUGCUAAAGCGGAGGAAGGAAUGGGCAACGGUAGGUCAGUAUGCCCCAAAUAUCCCGGGCUACACGCGAGCUACAAUGGUUGGUACAAUGGGUAUCUACCCCGAAAGGGGACGGGAAUCUCCUAAAACCAAUCUUAGUUCGGAUUGAGGGCUGCAACUCGCCCUCAUGAAGCUGGAAUCCGUAGUAAUCGCGUUUCAACAGAACGCGGUGAAUACGUCCCUGCUCCUU